rnacentral:rRNA from 1 species
UAAUCAGAAAGCCACGGCUAACUACGUGCCAGCAGCCGCGGUAAUACGUAGGUGGCAAGCGUUAUCCGGAAUUAUUGGGCGUAAAGCGCGCGUAGGCGGUUUUUUAAGUCUGAUGUGAAAGCCCACGGCUCAACCGUGGAGGGUCAUUGGAAACUGGAAAACUUGAGUGCAGAAGAGGAAAGUGGAAUUCCAUGUGUAGCGGUGAAAUGCGCAGAGAUAUGGAGGAACACCAGUGGCGAAGGCGACUUUCUGGUCUGUAACUGACGCUGAUGUGCGAAAGCGUGGGGAUCAAACAGGAUUAGAUACCCUGGUAGUCCACGCCGUAAACGAUGAGUGCUAAGUGUUAGGGGGUUUCCGCCCCUUAGUGCUGCAGCUAACGCAUUAAGCACUCCGCCUGGGGAGUACGACCGCAAGGUUGAAACUCAAAGGAAUUGACGGGGACCCGCACAAGCGGUGGAGCAUGUGGUUUAAUUCGAAGC